UAGGGAAUCUUCGGCAAUGGGGGCAACCCUGACCGAGCAACGCCGCGUGAGUGAAGAAGGUUUUCGGAUCGUAAAGCUCUGUUGUAAGAGAAGAACGUGUGUGAGAGUGGAAAGUUCACACAGUGACGGUAACUUACCAGAAAGGGACGGCUAACUACGUGCCAGCAGCCGCGGUAAUACGUAGGUCCCGAGCGUUGUCCGGAUUUAUUGGGCGUAAAGCGAGCGCAGGCGGUUUAAUAAGUCUGAAGUUAAAGGCAGUGGCUUAACCAUUGUUCGCUUUGGAAACUGUUAAACUUGAGUGCAGAAGGGGAGUGUGGAAUUCCAUGUGUAGCGGUGAAAUGCGUAGAUAUAUGGAGGAACACCGGUGGCGAAAGCGGCUCUCUGGUCUGUAACUGACGCUGAGGCUCGAAAGCGUGGGGAGCAAACAGG
rnacentral:rRNA from 1 species